UACGGAGGGGGCGAGCGUUAAUCGGAAUUACUGGGCGUAAAGCGCAUGCAGGUGGUUAAACAAGUCAGAUGUGAAAGCCCGGAGCUCAACUUCGGAAGGUCAUUUGAAACUGUUUAACUAGAGUACUGUAGAGGGGGGUAGAAUUUCAGGUGUAGCGGUGAAAUGCGUAGAGAUCUGAAGGAAUACCGGUGGCGAAGGCGGCCCCCUGGACAGAUACUGACACUCAGAUGCGAAAGCGUGGGUAGCAAACAGG
rnacentral:rRNA from 1 species